GAUGAAGAACGCAGCGAAAUGCGAUAAGUAAUGUGAAUUGCAGAAUUCAGUGAACCAUCGAAUCUUUGAACGCACAUUGCGCCCGCCAGUAUUCUGGCGGGCAUGCCUGUUCGAGCGUCAUUACAACCCUCAGGCCCCCGGGCCUGGCGUUGGGGAUCGGCGGAGCCCCCCGUGGGCACACGCCGUCCCCCAAAUACAGUGGCGGUCCCGCCGCAGCUUCCAUCGCGUAGUAGCUAACACCUCGCGACUGGAGAGCGGCGCGGCCACGCCGUAAAACACCCAACUCUUCUGAAGUUGACCUCGAAUCAGGUAGGAAUACCCGCUGAACUUAAGCAUAUCAAUAAGCGGAGGA
rnacentral:misc_RNA from 1 species